GGGGCAUUUAAUGCCAAGGCAUCUGAUGAUGAGGGCUGCUCUUGAGCAUAGGAGUUGGAAGUUUCCCUGGAGAUGGAACUGGCUGGAUGCAACAAACCAGGAGGAGGGCUAAGCCUGGACAUGACAGACAUCUGUGGAUAGGAACCUCGCUGUGAGAGAAAUCUAGAUGGUCAGGCUGGCCAGUUGGAUCAGGCCCAUAUAUGUCUAACAUCUGGAUCCUAUGCAUGCUUUCUCAGAAGUAAGAAUUAUUCCCAGCCACCUAAUCAAAGAGCCUAACAGGCACCGUUGUGGAUGUGGGUUUUUAAAAUACCAUGGAAAAAAGACAGCUCAUGGAGAACUGCGAUUUGAGGCAAGCAGCACAUCUUUGCAUUAUUGCUGAUUUGAAAUACUCAGUUUGCGAAGAGGAAGCCCUAAGGGACAAGUUCAGUAACUAAGAAUGCGAUCGUAGAUAAAAGAAAUAAAAAUGACAAGCGUAAUGGAGGCUCAGCAAAAGAAACUGUCAGAGAAAUCAGUUCCUGGAUGACAAUCUUACCCAGUCUGAAUAAUUAUGAAUAAUUCAUAGAACAAAAUUACUCAGCUUUCACCUUUUCCACUUAAAAUGGCAUGAUGUGAAUCUCUAAUAAAUUUUCAAGAUAAAAUAUAAUGCCAAUUUGAAUCUGAAGAGCUUUUUCCAGCCAGAUGCUACAUCCUGAUUCUUCCGAUACCUUUCACAAUUAUUCUGUGAGAAUCCCACUUCAUCACGAAGCACCAUUACCAAUGAAAAUUACUGUGAUUACAGUGGCAACAAUAGAAUGCCAUCAAAUGAUUUCUAAUUUACCUAAUUUACUAAGGCUGACUGCAUUGGUUUUCAUGCCCAGGUCUUCAUGCCUGGCACCUUGGAUCCAUAUCAGAAUGAAACAAAAGUGGCUUACGAAUGUGCAUCGUGUUCGACACCUUUAACUUCUACAGCACGGAUAAAUGUAGCCAUCUGUUAAACAUGCGUAUAGCUAUAUAUGUUACAUGUGUGUUUUCCGGCAUUCUUGAUGAUUGUGUUUAGCUGCUCCUGGGCGUAGGAUGGCAUUCUGUUACAGGUUUGUUUAUGCUAUAAUGCUCAGGCAUGAAGACUGCAGCAGAUGUUUAACUAUGCAAACAAUCCGUACAGCUAAAUCAGUGUAUAUACUUUUAAUUAGAUAAAUCUUCUUUCUUUCUUUCUUUCUUUUCUUUCAUUUGAACAGCUAUCUGUUUCCAAGUUAGAAAAGCCUUCUGCUGCCAGUAUCAGUUAUGGUUCAACUACAUAAGUAUAUAAUCUGAAAAUGGGUGCUGUAGACAUUGGCAAAGCUGAUGAUGACUAUGUACAUAGCUUUCAGGAUUUCUUUUUACCCCUAUUUAGUCUCUAUUCUGUUUAUUCUACAAUUAUAUGUUUUGUUACAUUCAUAUGUGCCAAUUAUUUAAACAAAAAGCAUUUUUGAAACAACAGAGGGAGCAAUAUAGGGCGUGAUCAGACUAUGUUAGAUGAGCUGUUUUGGUACCAAAUCUACUUAGGAACUAGUCAUAAACACAGAAUGACUGAAAUUUGAGUAACAAUAUUACCAUAUUAUUUAGAUACAGAUUUAUUCUAAAUCCAGUUUUAGUAGUCAGAAAAGGUGGAGUACAUUGGGUUAAAAAACUGUAUUUCAGUGGAAAAUACUGUUAUUUGAGUUUAUACUUCAAUUUUAUCUUUCAUUCCAUCAGCAGGCUUAUUUAAUCUCUGGAAAGUAUUUUAUAAGAGUGAAGAAGAUAAGCAAUAGUUCUUGUCAGCUACAUGACUUUAAUGAUGCACUGUCUAACGUGUCUUAGUUAAAAAUACCUGCUAUUUGCAUGUGUUACAAUACCUGGCCAUUAUAACAAGAGUGUAUUCCACAAAAUACAUUCAAUAUGCAUUCCUAUAACAUAUUUUUAAAAUACUUAAAAUUUGGUUUUUAUUUAUAUAAAAUAUCUGUUUGUGUGUGCCACAGUACUGCUUUUCCAUUGUAUUUUAGCUUUUGAUGCAUUGUAAUUGAAUGUUUGACAAAAAGAGUAUUGAAAUGUUUUCCGUGGUAUCUCUGUAUAUUUUGCAAGGUACAGUCAGUUCUAUUCACAAACCAUUUAAGGCUACUUCAUCCCAAGAAACCAGAUCACUUUUAUGAAAAGGAUGCAAGUUUCACUAGUUUGUGGAUUACAAUCUGAAUCAAAUAUAAAUAUUUGCAUUUGUGUGCAUUGCUUUUUAAAGGUGUCUGUUUUAAGUCUCAACAUUUUAUAUCUGGGAAGAGAUCUGAAGGAGUUACUUUCAGAUUGUGACACCAUAAUGGGAAGCCCAAACUUGUAAAAGUUAUUUAAUUGCAGUAGUGCCAACAACGGCUUGUGCCAGGGUACUCUGUCUCUGGCAAGUAAAGCUGUCUUCCUGUCAGAGUGAUCCCCAUGAAAUGGACUCUGGAAACAUCAUAUCCCUGCUGUUUGAAAUGACGGUGAUGCCCAAGCAGUCCUUGCAGUGUCGUAUAUCAGGGCCAUCACUUACUCUGCCUCCACUCCAGCUCAGGCAGUGCUAAGGAACUGGCUCUGCCCUUCACUUACAUUGCCAGAAGCACCGGUUCUAGAUCUAGAGUCUCUUUGUGGGACCAGAGCCCAAGCCAUAUUUGUGGAAUUGCACCAGUAGAGGGGAGUAUUGUGCCUGGCUCUAGGAGAUCCAGGAGCAGAGAACUGACGGGUAGAAUCAGGCUGCAAAGGACUUUAAAAAGCACAGGAUGAGCUUGUUUCCGCAAUCGAUAUCUAUAUUAAUACACAUUUUCUUAAAGGGCUCUCUACUUGGUCUUCAGAAGCUAAUAAAGUAAAAAUUAGA